GGGCGGGCGCCUGGGCCGGCGGGACACGCCCCGGACAGCCCGGGACACGCCUCGGACACGCCCCCGCUCGGCCCGGACACGCCCUCCCUCUGCGGCCGACGGGCUCCGACGUUCCCGGCGGAGCUGCGGCGCAGCAGGAAUUGGUGCGGGAAGUGGUGUCCCGGGCCGCUGGCGGGCCCCGCUGCCGCAGCCGCGCACGAAGCACAAAGCGCCCCCGCGGCACCGCUCGCCGGGUGCCCCCCAGUGCUCGGAGGUGCCCGUUGUGCUUCACAAAAGAGACCCGCACGAACUUUUCCAGACAGCGCUGAUUGUUCUUGAAAGAGGGUUGGGAUCUGAAAAGUGCUGCGAGUCAUUAAUUUGAGACCACAGAUCACCAGGUUUGGGAGGAGAGUUUCCACCACGCCCUCCUUGAAAUAAAUCGGUGGACUGCCUCCCUCUGCUAGCAGCUCUCACUAAUUAGUCAGCAUCUUUUAGUCUCUGGGAGCCUUUGAAAGUGGUGUUUUUUUCCUACACAAUCCUGCCCAAAACAUCAAGUCGUGAUGUACAGAAGCUCAGGACACGGCGCAGACCUGUGCAACCAGUUUUCUGCUGCUCGACUUCUCCUAGGAUGGUCUGUCCCUCUAAGCAAGGAGCACAAAGCCCUAACAGACGUUAAAAGCCACCCAUCUCUUCUCCAGGCUUGCUGGGCAGGUGUCAAUGGCAGUGAUGGGAAUAACCACGAAUUUAGGGGCAAAAGACAAGAACUGAGUUGACUUUUCAUGCCACUCCAAGUAGGAGGAUCAAAGCACAUGCCCCAAAUACAAAUCAGCUCCAUCUUAUUGGAAAAUGGACCUGAAAUGAACGUUCGCCACACGUUCUGGGCUUGCACUGUAUUUGGAAGGCUUGCUGUAAGUUAAACUGCAAAAAUAAAGUCUAGAGAGCUGAGAAAGGAAAUGUUUGUAUGAACUUGCUCUUUCCUCUUUUCAUCUUAGCAUGAGCAAUGCAGCAGCUUUGCUUUCCUGCUGUGAUGGCCAAGGCCAAGCUGUGGAGAUACAGCAUCCCUGGCGUGCUCAGAGGCUGAACAGCCCUUUUGGGAUGUUUCAAUGUAAAGAUGGAUCUUGAAAUCCAGCAGCUGGAUCUGUAUGAUUUAGUGCUUCAACAUCUGGAGCAACAAGGCCAGUCCAGUGGCAUGAAGUUAAUCAGUAGCUGGAGGACUGGUCUUCAGUCCAGUUUUUUGAAAUUUUUUGUUUCAAUUUCUUUGGUCUGUUUUUGAGGUUGGGUUUUUUUGGUGGGUUUUCUUUUUUGUUUGUUUGCUUGUUUGUUUCUUCUAAGAAACAAAGUUCUCAAUAGACAGAAACCAGCAAGUGUUUUUAGUCUUAAUUUUAAAUUUGGUACUUGUUGUAUUUGUGAUGCCCAUUUGAGAAGUACACAUUAAACUUGCUUGUCUUUUAUUUUAUGCUUACUUCAGGGAGCACCAAUGUUUCAUUACCAUCUAUUUUAUAUUAAUAAAGACUCUUCAAACUAAUAAUGCCUACCAA